UGCUGGGUGGGAUCCGGCUCCCGGCUUGCAGCGGUGUCCACAGCUCCGGUCGGGAGCGCAGGUCGGAUCUGGCGCCCACGGUUCGCAGCGGGAACGGAAUCGGGGACUGUGCGGGUGGAGCCCCGGUUUCCACCUGCGGCUUCUUUUAACCGCGCCCUACCCCGCCUCUGCCUGACGCCGCACGGGAGGGCUGCGGGAGAGGAGCGCGGGCACACGUCGGUCGCGCCAGCCAGCCGAGGUGCGCACCGCCCUCCCUCCGGGCUGGGGGCGCGGGGCGGGUCCCCUUUUGUGGAGCAGGGAGCAGGGGGGCCUUCCUUAUAGGGUUAGGGGAUCAGGGCGGGUCCGUCUUAGGGGGCGUAGAUUAGAGGACUCAGGUGAGACCCUUCCUCUGGGGUCAGGGACCACGACGUGUCCCCUAGGAGAGGUACCAGCCUAAGCGCCAGGCUUGGGUUGGGGACACAAGGCAUGUCCCUUCUCGUGGAUGUGGGUGGAGCGUGGACCGCGAUGGGCAAGCUCAGCCAGGUCCCAACAAGGGCAGGGAAGAGUUGCCCGCUGAGGCCCUGCUGGGACUGGACACUGGAGGGCUCAAGUAAUGAGAAUGACAUGAUCUUACUUCUGGUUCUGGCUCCUUGUAAGACAGUGCCAGAUGCAGGCCAGUGGAAGAUGCUCCAGGACCACACAGGACAGAAGUCAGACAAAAGAGCCCCGAGGAUUGCCUUAUUACACAGGUGUCUGAAGAGGAGCCCUCUCAACAAAUAGUUAACUUUGUUGUUGUUGUUGUUGUUGUUCAGAUCAUCUAUGCUGGCUCAGAGGUCUUUGAUCUUGUCAUGUAUUUCUUACCACUUACCCUUAUUGUUCAAUUUUCACUCCUCAUCGGGAAGGCUUGUUGCAGCAGAAAUUCAUGUAGACCAUGUGAGCUUACUGAUUUGAUGAGCUUCUCAUUAGGAAACUGAAAAGUCAGUUAACUAAACAUGUGGUACAAAGACGCCUGGCAUGGUGACAGAUCAUGUGGAUUUGUGUCAGACAUGAAAACUUUCAGGAGCCAGCUACAAUGUGACCACCAUCAGAAAGCACUGUACCACACUGAGAAAGAUCCUUGUAGACUUGGUUGUAACUGGGGACCUGAAUUAGUUUGAUUACUCCCUCCCCUGGCAUUGCAAUGGUGAUUUCUAAGGCCCUACAUUUAAUGAGUACAAAAUGCGCAAGGUGUGGAUUCUGCAAUAUGAGAUGGGAAGAAAUGAGCACAAGAGGCUCUUUUGAGCAUUUCUCCCCUGAGAGUCCUCUUGUCCCUUUGCAAAAGGAGCAGAAGGGAGAGACUGCCACGCCCUCUGCCUGGCAGCUGGUACAUGUGCUCAAGGAUGGGGUCCUGUCCCAUUGCUCAGGCAUUCACUGUCGAAUCUGGAAACACAGGACCAGAUUGCGUUUUCCCUGGCAUAGUUCUCCAUGCCUGGAAGAGAGGAAAAUAACGUAGUUUUUGAAAUAAAAGCUAACAUUUGUCUAUUCAUUCAACAGAAGACUCACGUUGUAUUUAGUAGACUCCCUCCUUGGGGUUUUCAGAUUCUGUCUGCAGGAUUGGAUAGGGGUUAAAUGCUUCGAGAGAAUGACCAUGGAAGGAAAGAGUUACCUUCCACACAUCAUAUCAAAGGCACAUACCAGUCCCUGACUGCUAAUGCCCAUCUUGGCCAAGUGGCUGAGGUGGUGCCUGUGAGCUCUUGCCCCUGUAAGGUCACUCUUCCCCGCUUCCACAUAGUACUUCUCUGAUGAGAUCACUUGCACAGCCUGUACCUAAGGUGUGGGAUGUCUGUUAGUUUUUGCAGAUGUAUUUUGUCAGUUCUUCCAAUCACUUUUUUUUUUUUUCCGAGACAGGCUUUCUCUGUGCAGUUUUGGUGCCUGUCCUGGAUCUGGAUCUCGCUCUGUAGACCAGGCUGGCCUCGAACUCACAGAGAUUCGCCUGCUUCUGCCUCCUGAGUGCUGGGAUUAAAGGCAUGCGCCACCAGCACCUGGCCCUCCAAUCACCUUUUUAUAUCAGCACACACUCGUGCGUAUUUAUUCUGUUCUUUGCAUUACAACCCCAUGCUACCUUCAUUAUUGUGAUGUUCAGAUUGUUUCCACCUUCCCCUUGACUCCUGCUUCCCCUUCGCUGUGCACCCACAACUGUGUGUAUAUAAGCAUGCUGCAGCACUGUCUGUCUGUCCCUACGAGAUGCUGCAGGCUCACCUUGGAAACUCCCGGCUACAGCCCUAGAGUCAGCCAUUUCUCUAAGGAGCUGUGUCCCUUUACUGGUGUUCCACUGGAUGACGCAUGUCUUCUUAGUCAUCGCUGGUCUUCUUGCUCAGCUGGAUACCUUGCUGACAGCAUCCUCUGGCUCUUCAUAACCCCCGUACAAGCACAAGUGCUGUGUUUGGUGUACUCUGGGAUCCCAGCAGGUGUUUGUCAAGGGAAUGCAUUCAAGAAGUGUUUAUUGGACUGGAGAUGUAGCUCGGAUUGGUAGAGUCAUCUGGAAUGCAUGAAGCCCUGGGUUUGAGCAACUUCACAGCCUAAAACUAGGUGUGGUUGCAGACACCUGUAAUCCCAGCACUCAAGAUGUAGAGGCAAGAGGAUCAGAAAAGUGUAUCCUCCACUAUAUAACAGGGUUUCUCUGUGUUGUUUUGGUGCCUGUCCUGGAUCUUGCUCUGUAGACAAAGCUGGCCUUGAACUCAGAGAGAUCUGUAGUGGGUAGCUGUUUCAGCUUUGACCUGGAAGUACUACCUCCACUGAGUUUUCUGGUAACUGCCAUGCCUACGAGGCAAGUGACAGGAGCCCAGAAGACCUGAGAUCGGGAUGUGCAGGCGCUCUUGGUUCCUGGAUCCUGGACGCUGGAGGUAGACUGAACAGAGUUCUCCAGAGAACACCGCCGGACUGCGCUACACCUUUCCCGGACCCUGUAACCUAUCCCUUCACUUGACCACCUACCCAGGGUGGCACCACCCACAAUGGGCUGGACCCUCCCACGUCAAUCAUUAGUCAAGAAAAUGCCCCACAGACUUGCCUACAGGCCAAGCUGAUGGAGGCAAGAACCACAACAAACAUCUCCCCAAAGAUGCUGACACAUAAGCAUGUGAGGAUGUCCAAUGUAACAUCUCACCAAGGAAACACAAAUUAAAACAGCGGUGAAGAUGCCACUACACACCUUUAGAAUGGCCGAAAUUCGGAACCCUGAUGACACCAAGUGCUAUCAAGGAUGUAGAGCAACAGGGACUCUCAUCACUCAUGGGAGUGUGAAACUUUGAAAGACAGUUCGACAUUUUCUUUUUUUACCCAAGCAAGUCAGAACUGAUGCUCACACAAAAACUUGUAAGGAUGUUUAUAGAAGUUUUAUUUAUGAGUGGCAAAACUUGGAAGCAAACAAAAUGGCCUUCCUUCUACAAGUGAAACAAACUGUGGUACGUCCAUACAAUGAAAUAUUAUUCACCAGUCAAAAAAUCCACCAUGGAACACUAGAAAACACGUGGAGGAACUUGGUGUGUGCUUUGCUGAAUGACACAAGGCAGCCUGGAAAGGCCAUGCACUUUAGGAGUCUUACAAUCUGAUAGUUGGAAAUGGUGAAAUUCUUGGGACAGUAAAAAGAUCAAUGGCUGUGAAAGGUUGCUGGAUGGAAGAAGGAGAAAGUGAGGCACACAAGGGUUUUAGAUAGUGAAACGGUUCUGUGAUGCUCUAAUGGGGAGCACACAGCAUUAUACAUCUGUCCAAACUCACAGAGAGUCGUAUGCCAAGUGUGGGCACUGAACUGGACUUUAGUGAAUAAUAGUUUAUUGGCAUUGUCAUACCAGCUGUAACCAACACACCAUCUCAGUGCAGGACGUGAAUAACAGAGGCACUUGGGAGAAGGGGCUUGUGGGGACUUUAUGCAGCGUGCUUAAUUUUUCUGUAAAUGUGAAAUUGCUCUCAAAAUUGCUCUCUUGUCAGGUCUGGUGAUGCCCAAUGUUUAAUUCCAGCACUCAUAAAUUACAGAGGCAGGAGGAUUACAAGUUUGAGGCCAACCUGGGCUGCAUAGUGGCUUCAAGGCUAGCUUGAGCACCAUAGGAAGACUGCCUCAAAAAAGACCAAGGGCUGAAGAUCAGCCCAGGGGUAGAGAAUUCACAUGUGUGAGGCCCUGCACCACAAAAAGUAAAAUACAAUAAGUAACAGUGAAAUCUACUAAUUAAAAAGCCCUUGGUUCUUUAAUGUUAGGUCUUGUAUUAAUUAACAGAAGCACAUUCUAUAACAGCAUUUAUAUAUAAAUAGGAAAAUAAAAUGUACAAGCAUUUUCUUAUCUUAAUAAAUGUGUUGUUUAUUA